CAGAGGUCCCAAGCGUUGUUCGGAUUCACUGGGCGUAAAGGGUGCGCAGGUGGGUUUGCAAGUUCGAUGUGAAGCCCCGGGCUUAACCCGGGAAUGGCAUUGGAUACUGCAGAUCUGGAGGAUCGGAGGGGACUGGAAUUCUUAGUGUAGCAGUGAAAUGCGUAGAUAUCAAGAGGAACACCAGUGGCGAAGGCGAGUCCCUGGACGAUACCUGACACUGAGGCACGAAAGCUAGGGAGCAAACAGGAUU
rnacentral:rRNA from 1 species